rnacentral:rRNA from 1 species
GACGAACGCUGGCGGCGUGCUUAACACAUGCAAGUCGAGCGGUAAGGCUCCUUCGGGAGUCCACGAGCGGCGCACGGGUGAGUAACACGUGAGUAAUCUGCCCUUCACUUCGGGAUAACCACCGGAAACGGUGGCUAAUACCGAAUACGACCAGUCUUCGCAUGAGGUGCUGGUGGAAAGUCUUUUCGGUGAAGGAUGUGCUCGCGGCCUAUCAGCUUGUUGGUGGGGUAAUGGCCUACCAAGGCUUCGACGGGUAGCCGGCCUGAGAGGGUGACCGGCCACACUGGGACUGAGACACGGCCCAGACUCCUACGGGAGGCAGCAGUGGGGAAGAUUGGACAAUGGGCGAAAGCCUGAUCCAGCAACGCCGCGUGAGGGAUGACGGCCUUCGGGUUGUAAACCUCUUUCAGUACCGACGAAGCGCCCUGUCGGGUGGUGACGGUAGGUACAGAAGAAGGACCGGCCAACUACGUG